AAAAAACAAACACUGUGACCUUGUGUUAGAGAACAAGAUCAGUAAGAGAGUUCUGAGAGCACUUUGGCCUCCUGCCUGCAAUCACGUUUCAGUUCCGCAUGGCGAACUCCACCCUUCAAUGGAUACCUGCAACUGCUUUUCUCAGUGAGGUGGUGUCCACUUGCAUCACACUGGGAUUGAGACUACUUUAGUUAGAGCAGGCUCUUCCAACUCAUGGCCCACGGCCACAUGCGGCCCAGCAUGGCUGGCAAUGCAGCCACCCUUUGUUCCAUGCUAUGAAGGCAGCAGCUCCUCACUGCAGAGUGGCCCUGGACACACACUCAUUGCUCAGCAACAGCCAAACAAUCAGUGUGUCAUUACGGCUAUGCCUAGUGAAUGAAACCAGGGCACGGGAAGAGCAGUUCUGCAUAGUGCUGACUCAAAUGAUGGGCUGGUUCAGCAAUGGUCCUCUGAAGCCCUGCAGCUAAUUUGUGAGCAACGGAUGACAGUUAGGGCUGAAGACAAGUUAUGUGACAGAUCCACGGUAAGAUGGACUCACACAGCAGAGUUUAAUGAGAAAACACCUGAGCUGGCUCAGCAAUCAGCAGGGUCAGUACCCUUACCUGUUCCAACACUCACAAGCUAGUUAACCCUUCCUUGGUGCCAUGAUUACAUGAUUACCUUAAACCUGAAAGUAGCCAAGAGAAGGGAUGUUCUCUGGUCCCGGUGAGUUUUUUGUCUGAUGCCAC
ensembl:lncRNA